rnacentral:rRNA from 1 species
UGGGGAAUCUUCCGCAAUGGACGAAAGUCUGACGGAGCAACGCCGCGUGAGUGAAGAAGGCCUUCGGGUUGUAAAGCUCUGUUAUUCGGGAAGAACGAUUCGUUUGUGAACAAUGAACGGAAGUGACGGUACCGAAAGAGAAAGCCACGGCUAACUACGUGCCAGCAGCCGCGGUAAUACGUAGGUGGCAAGCGUUGUCCGGAAUUAUUGGGCGUAAAGAGCGCGUAGGCGGUAUGAUAAGUCUGUCUUAGAAGUGCGGGGCUUAACCCCGGGAGGGGACAGAGACUGUCAUACUAGAGUCUCGGAGAGGAAAGAGGAAUUCCUAGUGUAGCGGGGAAAUGCGUAGAGAUUAGGAAGAACACCGGUGGCGAAGGCGGCUUUCUGGACGGGCACUGACGCUGAGGCGCGAAAGCGUGGGGAGCUAGCAGG